GUCUCAUUUCAUCUCAAUGUUGAUGCAAACUAAAGAGCUUAAAAGCAGACAGUAACUUGUCAACUGGAUGAAUCAUCAAAGACAUGUCAUGGAUAAAGUAGGAUUACAUAGAAGCAAGUUCUGCCACAAUGACAUGAAAAAGAGACCAUAAUCAUAACCCAGAAUCAAAUGGCACUGAAAGGUGACUCAAGAAGUUUGUAGAAGAACUCUGAUCAAGAAUUUUAACUCAGAUAAGUAUUCCUAUCAUUAUUUUUCUCUAUUGGUGGUCAUUGAGCUGGCUCUAAAUACUUGGAUACAUAAGGAAAAGAUACAAUAGUUAAUUUUUUGUUGUCAAGUUAGGAAAACUUGUCAUGAAUAUUUAUGUAUCACCGUUGUAGUCACACAGCAUGGAUUUAGUGUUGUAUUCUUUCACUUAUUCCCCUUAUGAUCUAGAACAAACUCCUAGGAUCUUCAGUUUCAUUACUUGUAAAAUGGGCAUAAUAAUAGUAUGUGAUAUCAUUGUAUUAAAGAUAAUUGGGACAAUGCCUGUACGCCAAUUCCUUUAUAAAACCAAGUGCUCAAAAAAUGGUAGUUAUUAUUAUUUUUAUUAUUAUUUUAUUGAUUGCUGAAGGCUUUAUGUGAAAUGACUGCUCUGAACUGUACUUGGAGCAAAAAUAUAGAAUUUUAAUGAAUCAUCACAACACUUUAUGAUAUAGAUAUUAUUAUCUCAAUUUUGUAUUUAAGCAAACUAAUUGGGAAUGUUAUAAAGCAUGCUCAAACUGACUGGUGACAGAGUGAAGAUUCCAAACCAGGUCUAUGCUUUUAGUCAUUCCUCUUUACUAUACACCUCUCUUAAAAGCCACAAGAGACCAUUCACUUCAAUUACCUAUUCUGACCUCAUAAAUAGAUGGCUGCUUAGUUCUUGGUAUUUAGGGGAACUAAAAAAUGCCCUUCUCCAAUAUUACAAGUAUCAGAGAACAUUAACUAAAGUAUUUACCACUUUCACCCUGAGGAACAGAGAAGCCAUGUUGGACAUAGGAAGGACAGUGGGAAACUGAGAACACCAAAUAUAAUGUUUAUUCACUGUAUGAUUUUGGUAAGGGCAGCCGUUGAUAAAUGUUCCUUAGUAUUCUCUAUUAAAAAACCAGAAAACUAAAUAUUAAGUAUCUGCAUGUAUAUUUAUGAAUGUUCAAAUGAGGUGUCUAUUAAUUUCAGAGAACACAUACACUGAGACAAUUGCAUUAUAUACACCACUGUUCUGGUACAUUUAUUAGUGGUUUCAAAUCAUGUAACAAACACUAUCUAAGUCCUCUUGGUGACAAAGGCAAUUGUGUGCAAAUUCCUGAUGAUGGAAUUAAUAAUUUAUUUUACUAUGGGCAUUUUAAACCAGAAGUUUAAAUUUAAAACAGGUAUUCUUCAAAACAGUAUAGUUAAAAGGCCAGAGAUGUGAAGCCAUAACCUGACCAAUGACAUUCAGGUCAUGAGUAAACAUAUGGUCUGCCACAGUGACUCAAUUAACCAUCCAUCAAUGUAAUUGCAUAAUACAUCAGAGGAGGUAGUCUCCUACCAGUGAGGGUCAGCAUCCCCUAUUAAAUUUAACAGGAAAAGCAUCACUUUGCCAUUAGCUUCUUUGGCUAUAUAUUUUUAAAUAUUUUGAAAAUACAUUCGAUACUGUAUUUUAUACUUACUGUUCUCUGGAAGAAAUUUUUGACAAACUGAUAUUUGGGCUGCUGGUUAAGAAAUAAUUCUACUUAUAAUAAAGCUGGCAUAAAUGAAAAGCACAACUUACAAGACAAGUAUUGCAUUUUAAUCAAUUCUAAUCACGUUAUUGUUGAGAUAAGAAAGAAGGAGGUAUACCAUUUAUACAUUAUGUAAAUUGUACAUAAAGUUAACAUGUUACAAACUUCUAUGAAGAGAUAUGGCUGAACUGGUUUAUGCAAUCUUUGUGAACAUUAAACCUUCUUGGCAUAGUACACAUGAUAAAAUAAUGGCAAUGCCUUAUUAAGUAAUUUUUUAAAAAAAUGUAUGGGGUAUUAAACUAGAUUGUCAGUAUGAUAGAGAGCUUGAAAUCAAGAACAAAUAAACAUAAUACUGGGUUUAUGCUUCAUAAGCAAGAUGUACUUAGUAAAUCAGGAAAUGCUCUGUUCCUAUCUGGUAUGUUUCUCCUUCUUUUGAGGUUCACAUCCUGAGGGAGAGUUGUACAUUAUUAAUGUUAUGUGCAUUUAAACCUACACCUUAGCAUCAAGAAAAAAUAGUGGAGAGAACUUAAAAGAGAUAUUUUAGCUAAUAGAUACAUAGUUCUCACUUGCAUUGUAUGCAACCUGCAUUCCCUUUGUAGACAGAAAGUAACCAUUGGCCAAGGCCCUAUUCCUAUAGGAUUAUUGAUAUAGAAAAAAAUGAUACCCCUAGAUUUCUGCUUUCUUCAGGACUCCACCUUCCUCUGGUAUAAUACAAUUUUUUUCUGACCUACAGUUGUUUGAUAUAAAAUCUUACUAUAUUUUUUGUUUUAUUUAUUUUUGGGGGGACUUGGCACAUCACUUUAGAAUAAAGUACAAUAUUACUAAAUAGUCAACUAGAAUUAUAAAAUAUUAGCAAUAUUUACCUUCUAACAAAACACAAGCUGAAUGUAUUAACUGAUUACCAGUUAUAUUAGGUAACAGUUUGGAAAAAAAUGGCACAGGGCAAGAAGAAAAAAUGAACAAGUCUUCAAAAAUUGUUCUAAGAAACUAAACUACUGUGGCUAUCGGCUCUGAUGAGAAUGGUGAAAUUGUUUGGAGAGGAAACCAGACAUUGCAAUGAAAAAAUAAUCUCUAUUACUAAAACUAACUUAAAAAGCCAAUAUCUAUAUACUGUUUACUGUGAGCUCAAGUAAGAACUAUUCCCUAUUUCAAAACUGUCAGUCCUCCCAGUCCUUUAUAUUUGCAUUAUCAACAAGCCUGUAUAUAUUACUGAAAAUUCUUUAGUGUUAAGUAUACUCUUUUUAACAAUUUUUUUCUGGAUAUAGAGAUAUAAUCAUAGAAUAAAGUUCUUCUGGAGUUUGAAAACAACUUUUGUCAGAAAUACAUUGUUUUCCUAGAAAGUCAUGAGGGUUGCUGAGAUUAUUCUUGCCCAUCAAAAUCUCUGUCUCAUUAGUUAUGCCAUACUACCUAGGGAAAAUAUCAACAGUGUUCUCCUCACGCAUAGGCAGCAGGUUCUGUGUUACAUCAGUACCAAUGCCAAAGCCUUGGCAUGCUGAAUUAGCAAAUUCCACUUGGAAACUGAACUGCAACUGGCUUGCUUUUACCAUUACGGUUGGGCUUGCAGGCUACCCUGGUUCACCUGCUAUGCCACUGUACUGAGGAAAUAUAAUUUUUGUGAAUUAGUUCUGUCUGAUAAUACUUUAUACUUUCUCCUAUUUUUUUUUAAAAAAGAUGUAGAAUUGAUAGGGAUUUACUUAAAAUAAAAUUAGUCUGUUGUAACUCCUUUAUGCUUCACUUUGAAUAGAUGAGCCAACGUUUUACUUGAGUGAAUACAUAAAGGCCAUGAUAGUUUAACUUUUACAACUCUCAUUAUUCUACCUCCAAGCUUAUUUAUCCCUUGUUUGCUCCUUCCUUACUUCAGGGGUCAAUAAUUUUUAAUGAGAUAACUGAAAGGAACAGUUUUGGGGGUUUGGAGAAAGGUAAAAUCAUAAUCACCAGGAAUUCAUUGCAGAACUCCACGUAAUUACUGUGAAGAGACUGAAGUUUUCAGGCCCCACUUGAAUUACCAGGGUCCCUUUAGAGUGAAAAAUGUAUGAAUCUCUUCCCUGGAGUUGUAGAGGACUUGGAUAUACAUUCUAGAAUAUGAAGAUUGAUUGAAAUUCUUAGAAGCAGAAAGUGGAAGAGAGAGACAAAGUGAGAAGAAAAAUAGCUGCAUGUUUCUAUUUUAUGCAGGGCCAGGCUUGGGCUAUUAUGAAUGUUGCUGAACACUGUUAAUCAAGCUUACACAGCUAUUUUGAUGGCAAACAAUUAGAACUCUGCAGCUCUACCUUGCAAUUAGCUUCAGGGAUACGGACCUGCACACCCUAAUAAUGAAAGAGACCUCCUUCAAGCACGUACUCCCUUGGAUUAUUCACUCUGGAGAAAAUCAGCUUCCACAUCAUGAGUGCUGUGAAGAGGCUCACAUGAGUGAACUUGGAAGAAGAUCCCCUGAGGCCUGGCAACAACCAAAUAAGCUUGGAAGUGUGCUCUUCAGCCCUGCUUGAGCCUUGACAGGAUAGCUGCAUGGACCAACUCACAAUUUGACCACAGCCUUAUGGGACAAAUGGAGCCAAUGACACCCAGCUAAGCCAUACCUAGAUUCCUGAUGCACAGAAACUGUAAAAUGAUAAGUGUUUGCUGUUUUAAGCUGCUAAUUUUGGGUAAAAUUUGUUAUAUGCAAUAGAUGACUAGUAGAAGGAUUAAAUGAGAUAAUUCACGUAAAGAACUUAGCAUGCACCCAAACAAUGGUAACUGUUAAUUGAACUGCUAAUAGUAUGGACCACACUUGCCUUUCCCUUUUCUCAAUUUUCAUAAAUAGAUUAAUCUAUA
rnacentral:lncRNA from 1 species